GUCCUCAUAGUAUAAACUAUUACUUUGGUCUUGUAAACCAACAAUGGGAAAAACACCCCUUAGGACA
rnacentral:tRNA from 1 species